rnacentral:rRNA from 1 species
UACACUCCUACGGGAGGCAGCAGUGGGGAAUUUUGGACAAUGGGCGAAAGCCUGAUCCAGCAAUGCCGCGUGAGUGAAGAAGGCCUUCGGGUUGUAAAGCUCUUUUGUCAGGGAAGAAACGGUGAAAGCUAAUAUCUUUUGCUAAUGACGGUACCUGAAGAAUAAGCACCGGCUAACUACGUGCCAGCAGCCGCGGUAAUACGUAGGGUGCAAGCGUUAAUCGGAAUUACUGGGCGUAAAGCGUGCGCAGGCGGUUUUGUAAGUCUGAUGUGAAAUCCCCGGGCUCAACCUGGGAAUUGCAUUGGAGACUGCAAGGCUAGAAUCUGGCAGAGGGGGGUAGAAUUCCACGUGUAGCAGUGAAAUGCGUAGAUAUGUGGAGGAACACCGAUGGGGAAGGCAGCCCCCUGGGUCAAGAUUGACGCUCAUGCACGAAAGCGUGGGGAGCAAACAGGAUUAGAAACCCCAGUAGUCCCAUGA